rnacentral:rRNA from 1 species
AAUAGAUACCCUGGUAGUCCACGCCGUAAACGGUGGGCACUAGGUGUGGGCGACAUUCCACGUCGUCCGUGCCGCAGCUAACGCAUUAAGUGCCCCGCCUGGGGAGUACGGCCGCAAGGCUAAAACUCAAAGGAAUUGACGGAGGCCCGCACAAGCGGCGGAGCAUGUGGCUUAAUUCGACGCAACGCGAAGAACCUUACCAAGGCUUGACAUACACCGGAAACGUCCAGAGAUGGGCGCCCCCUUGUGGUCGGUGUACAGGUGGUGCAUGGCUGUCGUCAGCUCGUGUCGUGAGAUGUUGGGUUAAGUCCCGCAACGAGCGCAACCCUUGUCCCGUGUUGCCAGCAGGCCCUUGUGGUGCUGGGGACUCACGGGAGACCGCCGGGGUCAACUCGGAGGAAGGUGGGGACGACGUCAAGUCAUCAUGCCCCUUAUGUCUUGGGCUGCACACGUGCUACAAUGGCCGGUACAAUGAGCUGCGAUACCGCGAGGUGGAGCGAAUCACAAAAAGCCGGUCUCAGUUCGGAUUGGGGU